rnacentral:rRNA from 1 species
GACGAACGCUGGCGGCGUGCUUAACACAUGCAAGUCGAACGGAAAGGCCCUGCUUUUGUGGGGUGCUCGAGUGGCGAACGGGUGAGUAACACGUGAGUAACCUGCCCUUGACUUUGGGAUAACUUCAGGAAACUGGGGCUAAUACCGGAUAGGAGCUCCUGCUGCAUGGGGGGGGUUGGAAAGUUUCGGCGGUUGGGGAUGGACUCGCGGCUUAUCAGCUUGUUGGUGGGGUAGUGGCUUACCAAGGCUUUGACGGGUAGCCGGCCUGAGAGGGUGACCGGCCACAUUGGGACUGCGAUACGGCCCAGACUCGUACGGGAGGCAGCAGUGGGGAAUAUUGCACAAUGGGCGGACGCCUGAUGCAGCAACGCCGCGUGCGGGAUGACGGCCUUCGGGUUGUAAACCGCUUUCGCCUGUGACGAAGCGUGAGUGACGGUAAUGGGUAAAGAAGCACCGGCUAACUACGUG